rnacentral:lncRNA from 1 species
CUGAGAGAUCGAUACUAUCAUGCCUCAGAUCCUAUUGGGGUAGACAGUCACCCGUAGCCAUGAAGGCCCGAGAGAACCAACCCAUAACCUUCGAAUUCACAUUAAUGCAACUAUAAUAGGCAAAGGUUUUGUCAUCUACUGAUAUAAUGUCUUAAUAAAAAAAAUAUAAACAACAAGCCCUAAAACUAUAUACAUAAUAGACUUGGCCGUUGGAGCCAUAACAUCUACAAGAUAACACACUAUCAUGCUUAACUUUACAUUGGUCUACAAAGCCUCUAGACGAUACAUAGAACUUAGCUAAGGUCGGGACAAACCCCCGUCAUACUAUUAACUUUUAUACAAUACCAAAAAUAUAUAGAACCGACUCGAAAAGCCCCAAAGGAUACUGGAGCUCACCACUAGCAGAUGGAUAUCCUGGUCUUCUACUAAGGAGGCGCAUUUUCCGAAGCACCUGUGCCUGUAGCAUGAAAUAUAGGUCCCCCAUAAGGAGAGUCAGUACGAAAAUAUGUACUGAGUAUGCAAGGUAGAAAAGUGACAAUACAAGAUACAAAGGUUCAACAAAAAUCUAGAGCAAGUAUAAAAAUAGUGCUAGAGACCACCUUUACAUUUACUUGUGGAAUAGGGUACAUUACAUUACUUUCCUUCUUUUACCUUUUUACUUCAUUAUCUUUGUAAUCCAUAUGAUACGAAUGACCAGCUGAUCAGUGGUAAAUAAAAAAUUAGGAUUGGCCCAUGCUAGGCUUAUGCCCUAUAUCUGCCACUUUUAAAUAAACACUGGGAUCGGCCUAUGCUAGGCUUAUGCCCCUGAGCUGCCACCCGUUUUACAAAUUUCCAUUACUUAGUUUAAUUAGCCUUUGAGAUUGUUACUUCGGUGUUCAUAACAUUAUGGUACCUUGAAACAAUGAUCUAUCAAUAAGAGACAUGUAAAUAGGCAAUCAAUGCAAUAACAAUGAACUAAGGAGUUGUUGGUACGCUAAUGAAGUGUUUAGGAGCUAAAAAUAACACAUGGGUCUUAUUUGAGUAACUAGAGAAAUUCUGAAAUUUACCGGUUAAAAUAGACAUGUAGGAUUGGUAGCAAGCAUGUAUUGAGGUCUUUUAACUCAAUAUAGAGUGGGAUCAAGUUCAUUAGUAACAUGGGAUAUCAUACGGUGCUAUUAUGUAUCACGUGUUAUAGGAUAAUCUUGGAAGCUUGCUCGAUGGAACAAGUGUCCGUUUUUAUGCCAAGAGUGCAAAAUAGAGUAUGCCUUACAUACCUGGUUGUAAAACUCCAAUACCAAAACAACUCGACUCUCUGCCCUUUUAGAUUACUUAUAUACAAUGAAAUAUAUGCCAAACUAAUAUUAGCAACCAAACAUCACAUUUUGGCUAUUUAACUUCAUCAAACUAGUGGCCGGGAAGUAAGCCCUUAAUUUAUCAACAAAGGAUAUCAAUUUAACCAUCUUAUACUCCAAUUACAUACACAUACCAUACAUAUUCACAUUAUCUCCCCCGACACAACUUUGGCUUCAUUACACCUCCCAACCAAGACACAAAGCGAAAUGAGCAAUAGACGUACGCAAUCAUUAACUCAGUGGUGUAUCACCAUAUCCAUAUUCUAUAGUUCAAUACAAACUAAUCACACCUUUUUCCAAUAGCAACCGUGCAGCCCCCAACCCAAACACACAAAACAGUCCGCAACAACACUCCAAUCAUCCUUUAACAGCAACAAAAUAUGUGUAAUCCUCCAUCAACACAUGUAUAUGGAAAAGGGACAAAAGUGGACAGAAACCAUACCUUUAUUUCCUUGGUAGUUUAGUACUUAAUGUGUAUUUAUUCAAUAAAUUAAUCCCUUCACACAUACACCAAAAGAGAAAAGAGAAAUCCCUUUAUAACUAAGAACAAUUGACUAUCAAAACUUAAAGAGAGGGCUGUCCGGAAAUUAAUCUUGAAGAACACAUAGUUUCCUUAGUACAAGCUCAUGAAUUAUUAAAAUACCUUUAGCUUGGAAGGAAGGUCAAACCCAAGAACCCUUGUGGAACUAUAGGGUUACUUCAUAGCCAAGAGAGAACAAGAGAGAAAAAACUAGAAAGCUGAAAUUUUUGUCUGGGUUGAAAUGAGAAAAAAUUGCUGAUUUCCAAUCCAUAUAUAGAAGCUUCUCUUUGACG